GAGUUUGAUCGUGGCUCAGAUUGAACGCUGGCGGCAUGCCUUACACAUGCAAGUCGAACGGCAGCACGGGAGCUUGCUCCUGGUGGCGAGUGGCGAACGGGUGAGUAAUGCAUCGGAACGUAUCCUGGAGUGGGGGAUAACGUAGCGAAAGUUACGCUAAUACCGCAUAUUCUGUGAGCAGGAAAGCGGGGGACCUUCGGGCCUCGCGCUCUUGGAGCGGCCGAUGUCGGAUUAGCUAGUUGGUGAGGUAAAGGCUCACCAAGGCGACGAUCCGUCGCAGGUCUGAGAGGAUGAUCUGCCACACUGGAACUGAGACACGGUCCAGACUCCUACGGGAGGCAGCAGUGGGGAAUUUUGGACAAUGGGGGCAACCCUGAUCCAGCCAUGCCGCGUGAGUGAAGAAGGCCU
rnacentral:rRNA from 1 species